CUAAGAUUUAAAUUUUACUUAUUUUUUUAAGCAAACUAGUGCAAUUACUAAGCUUAAUUUGAGAAACCAGUUAAGCUAAUAAAAUUGAGGAAAGAUGGCUUCACGUUUAUUUUAAGAAAAUUCACUCAAUUAUGUGGAUUUGAUUGAGAUGUUUGCAUUUGAAUCUCAACAACGGCAGUGAUCAGACGACAUUUUGAAGGAGCAGAUCAACAGCGAGCAUGUUAAGAGUUUAAUGAAGAAAACUUUCGCAGUGUUUUCCCACUAAAGAGGAGCAGUUUAUUGAGGCAGAUUUUGAUAAAGAGAAUGGGUGCCAUACAUCAGACCUCACAUUAAAUCAGGGAUGAAACGAGAGAUGUCGUCCUCUGUUGCUGGUCUAUCUGUAUGAAUAAGAGGAAGAGCUCAUCCAGGAGUGCAAUUGUGGGAAUGCACAGAGAAUUGCUGUCUGUCAGAGGGAUGACCAACCAUGAGGACUUCUGCAUUGUCUUGGAGGAUAAGUGAGUCAUGGCUAGCCUGGAAAAUCUAGAAUCGCUGAACUGGAUUUAUACAAAUAUUCCACAAAUUAAAAUCACUUACAAAGAAAUGAAUAUUAAGUUUGCAAUACACAAAUUCUGUCAAAUAUUGUCUAAAAUGUGACUAUUCCUACAAAGGAAAGUUGACAGGUCAGUUUUUUCCAUGACAUGGAUAAAGGAAUUUUUAUCAGAGAUUAGCAUUGCUGUAAAUUUUAUAUAGAUUUGUUUAACAUAUUGUACCAUUUUGUUAUCAGUGUAACAUGUAAUAAAAUGAUAU